AACGAACGCUGGCGGCAUGCCUAACACAUGCAAGUCGAACGAGACCUUCGGGUCUAGUGGCGCACGGGUGCGUAACGCGUGGGAACCUGCCCUUAGGUUCGGAAUAACUCCCCGAAAGGGGUGCUAAUACCGGAUAAUGUCUUCGGACCAAAGAUUUAUCGCCUUUGGAUGGGCCCGCGUUGGAUUAGCUAGUUGGUAGGGUAAAAGCCUACCAAGGCGACGAUCCAUAGCUGGUCUGAGAGGAGGAUCAGUCACACUGGGACUGAGACACGGCCCAGACUCCUACGGGAGGCAGCAGUGGGGAAUAUUGGACGAUGGGCGAAAGCGUGAUCAAGCAAUGCCGCGGAUGUGAUGAAGGCCGUAGGGUUGUAAAGCUCUUUUACACGGGAUGAGAAUGACAGUACCGGGAGAAUAAGCACCGGCUAACUCCGUG
rnacentral:rRNA from 1 species